rnacentral:rRNA from 1 species
CCUACGGGUGGCAGCAGUGAGGAAUAUUGGUCAAUGGGCGAGAGCCUGAACCAGCCAAGUCGCGUGAGGGAAGACGGUCCUAUGGAUUGUAAACUUCUUUUGUCGGGGAGCAAAAAUGCCUCGUUAGGCCACAAGUCAGAGUACCCGAAGAACAAGCAUCGCCUAACUCCGUGCCAGCAGCCGCGGUAAUACGGAGGAUGCGAGCGUUAUCCGGAUUUAUUGGUUGUAAAGGGAGCGUAGGCCGCAUGUCAAGCGUGCUGUGAAUGGUCCGGGCUCACCCCGGGCGUUGCAGCGGGAACUGGGGAGCUUGAGUGCGGGGAAGGAAGGCGGAAUUCGUGGUGUAGCGGUGAAAUGCUUAGAUAUGACGAAGAACCCCGAUUGCGAAGGCAGCUUGCUGGAGCGUAACUGACGCUGAGGCUCGAAAGCGCGGGUAUCGAACAGGAUUAGAUACCCGGGUAGUC